ACGGGUGAGUAACGCGUGGGAAUCUACCGUGCCCUGCGGAAUAGCUCCGGGAAACUGGAAUUAAUACCGCAUACGCCCUACGGGGGAAAGAUUUAUCGGGGUAUGAUGAGCCCGCGUUGGAUUAGCUAGUUGGUGGGGUAAAGGCCUACCAAGGCGACGAUCCAUAGCUGGUCUGAGAGGAUGAUCAGCCACAUUGGGACUGAGACACGGCCCAAACUCCUACGGGAGGCAGCAGUGGGGAAUAUUGGACAAUGGGCGCAAGCCUGAUCCAGCCAUGCCGCGUGAGUGAUGAAGGCCUUAGGGUUGUAAAGCUCUUUCACCGGAGAAGAUAAUGACGGUAUCCGGAGAAGAAGCCCCGGCUAACUUCGUGCCGGCAGCCGCGGUAAUACGAAGGGGGCUAGCGUUGUUCGGAAUUACUGGGCGUAAAGCGCACGUAGGCGGAUAUUUAAGUCAGGGGUGAAAUCCCAGAGCUCAACUCUGGAACUGCCUUUGAUACUGGGUAUCUUGAGUAUGGAAGAGGUAAGUGGAAUUGCGAGUGUAGAGGUGAAAUUCGUAGA
rnacentral:rRNA from 1 species